AUUGAACGCUGGCGGCAUGCCUUACACAUGCAAGUCGAACGGUAACGGGCCUUCGGGUGCCGACGAGUGGCGAACGGGUGAGUAAUACAUCGGAACGUGCCCGAUCGUGGGGGAUAACGAGGCGAAAGCUUUGCUAAUACCGCAUACGAUCUACGGAUGAAAGCAGGGGACCGCAAGGCCUUGCGCGGACGGAGCGGCCGAUGGCAGAUUAGGUAGUUGGUGGGAUAAAAGCUUACCAAGCCGACGAUCUGUAGCUGGUCUGAGAGGAUGAUCAGCCACACGGGGACUGGGACACGGCCCAGACUCCUACGGGAGGCAGCAGUGGGGAAUUUUGGACAAUGGGCGCAAGCCUGAUCCAGCCAUGCCGCGUGCAGGAUGAAGGCCUUCGGGUUGUAAACUGCUUUUGUACGGAACGAAAAGCCUUCUUUUAAUACAGGAGGGUCAUGACGGUACCGUAAGAAUAAGCACCGGCUAACUACGUG
rnacentral:rRNA from 1 species